UACGGAGGGGGCUAGCGUUGUUCGGAAUUACUGGGCGUAAAGCGUGCGCAGGCGGUAAGUUAAGUCUGAUGUGAAAGCCCCGGGCUCAACCUGGGAAUGGCAUUGGAAACUGGCUUGCUGGAGUGUGGCAGAGGGGGGUGGAAUUCCGCGUGUAGCAGUGAAAUGCGUAGAGAUGCGGAGGAACACCGAUGGCGAAGGCAGCCCCCUGGGCCAACACUGACGCUCAGGCACGAAAGCGUGGGGAGCAAACAGG
rnacentral:rRNA from 1 species